GUUCGGUCCCUAUCCUCUGCAGCCGAAGGAGAUUUGAGGAAGGCUGUCCCUAGUACGAGAGGACCGGGACGGACGCAGCUCUCGUGUGCCAGUUGUCUCGCCAGAGGCACGGCUGGUUGGCGACCUGCGGAAGGGAUAAGCGCUGAAAGCAUCUAAGUGCGAAGCCCGUUCCAAGAUGAGAUCUCCCACUGGGUUAACCAGGUAAGGGCCGUGGAAGACCACCACGUUGAUAGGCCGGAGGUGUAAGCGGGGUAACUCGUUCAGCCGACCGGUACUAAUCGCCCGAGGGCUUAGGUUG
rnacentral:rRNA from 1 species